AAACCUCAAACUGGGCUCUAAGAUUUUCAAUAAAAAAUGGACCAGAAAGUUUGUAUAUUUGUACUCCCUUUUAAAUGAUAUGUAAACACUAAACGCCGAGGGACUUAGUUUAAAAAAUGACGCAGUUCCUGACCGGGACAUUUGUGUUUCCUACUGAACAUUGGAGUAACGGUAAUUACCAAGUUCUGUACAGAUUUCAAUCUCUACUCUUGCACCCUUUUAAACUGUUUUAGGCCAGUUUACAGAUAAACCGUUUGCCGCUCCUUACUACUAAAGCUUUCUUUGUGGCAAAGGGUUAAGUACUUCUCUAAAGGUGAACUAACAAG